UUGUAAGUGUCUAAGGGCGCAUGGUGGAUGCCUUGGCAUCGAGAGCCGAUGAAGGACGUGGGAGGCUGCGAUAAGCCUC
rnacentral:rRNA from 1 species